GACAGAGGGUGCGAGCGUUAAUCGAAAUAACUGGGCGUAAAGAGUACGUAGGCGGGAAGAUAAGUCAUGUGUGAAAAACCGGGGCUCAACCUCGGGACUGCACCUGAUACUGUUUUUCUAGAGUUUGGUAGAGGUAAGUGGAAUUUCCGGUGUAGCGGUGAAAUGCAUAGAUAUCGGAAGGAACACCAGUGGCGAAGGCGGCUUACUGGGCCAAUACUGACGCUGAGGUACGAAAGCGUGGGGAGCAAAC
rnacentral:rRNA from 1 species